CGUGAGAUGUUGGGUUAAGUCCCGCAACGAGCGCAACCCCUAUCCUUUGUUGCCAGCACGCAAUGGUGGGAACUCAAAGGAGACUGCCGCGGACAACGCGGAGGAAGGCGGGGAUGACGUCAAGUCAUCAUGCCCCUUAUGUCCUGGGCUACACACGUACUACAAUGGGAUGGACAGAGAGCAGCGAAGCCGCGAGGCCAAACGAACCCCAUAAACCAUCUCCCAGUUUCGGAUUGCAGGCUGCAACCCGCCUGCA
rnacentral:rRNA from 1 species